UGUGUGUGUGUGUGUGUGGGACAGAAAAAAAGACACCACCGUGGACCUAAACCCACCACAUCAUCCCGACACACUGGUUACAACUGGGAUAUUAAACCAUGGACAACGACAAGAAAGACAACGGAUGACCGAUGAGUGCUCCGUUAAUAAGGCUCACUCCUCCCUGUGCUGCGUUCAGGCACAGGAAAACGGUCCAACCACAGUGACAACAGACAGGCAAACAACAGCAGGAGCGACGGUUGGUGGGCAUCUACAUAAACCACUGAUUCACCUUCGUUGCUUCGCCGGUUCGCCAACAGCGCCACCCGCAGGUCGGAUUGGGAAGCAACGUGUGCGUCAUCCCAUGGGUUUGAGGGGGGCACAACAGAUAGCCUCCCCCAAAAAAACGUCCAUACCAAGCCAUUGGAGUUAACCAAUAAAUUACUCUUUUUACCUAUCUCAGUAUAACGAAUUAUUCAUUUUGUGGUGAUCGUAUCAUUACACAGGAGUGGAAAUUGGAAACCUAAAACUGUUUCUAGAUUUACACAUCACUGUUCAUGAAAAUAUUAAGUACCACUGUUUAGUUGCAGCUAAACUGUAAGACACAAUGUAAUGACAGUAGAGCCAGGAUCACCUGUGGUUUCAGUUUUAAAAUCUUGGCUACAGCCCAAAUGGAAAUAAAGGAAACAAGAAAUUAAACAAGGCUUUUGUUUGUUUUUUAUACAUGGUAUUACUGGUCUGGCACACUUGAGAUCAAACUGGGAUGUAUGUGACCCAUGACUUAAACUGUACUGAAUUAACUUCCAGUUUAGGUGACCAGAUGACUCACCCAUUUCUAUCUCACAUGAUGAGAGGCUCAAAAGUCUUCUGGUGUGAGUCUCACAAGACACAUGGCUUACAAAGAAUUGCGGUGAUCUCUGAAUUCAAAGAUAUGCAGAGAUCAUUUCAGAACAUCACCUUUCACAGCUGUUACAACAGGAAAAAGAAAAUAAAUAUAAAAAGUUAGAUUCUAGAUUUAUGCUUGUAAAAAGUAGUGAAAAAUUACAUUAAAAUACAAUAUAUAAGAUUUGCAUUUCUAUGAUCAAUGCCAAACCUUUGAAUUGUAUAGUUAGUGUGAUUUAUCUAUCAGCUUUGCCAUCUAUUUGUAUUCUUAUCUAACUCUGGAUCAUGAGGAGGCUGACGUCUUUCCCAGCUGUCACCCAGCAAUAGAGGGCUACACUCUGGACCUGUCACCAGUGGAUUGCAGGGCCAAUACAUAUAGACCAGCAGAAAAGAGGUCUCCUUACUUGAAUGAAGACUGAAGAGCUCUAUAAACUGUUAAAUGUGCCCUCAAAGGUUGAGAGUGAACAUGCAAGCCUACUCAAACAGCUUCCCUGGUGGUCAACAACACCUCUGUGGGGAAACAUAGCAAUACAAUGCUGAUGUUCAAACCACAAUACUGAUACCUUGGGGCGAAAAAACUCAAAACAAAACAACUAUUUGGCAGCCAUUUUUUUCUUUUACAAAUGUAACAUUUAUUACAGAGAAUAUCAAAGUUGCUUAUGAAACCUUCAUGUUAAAUUACAUGACAUGAAUGCUAUACAAGACACAAGAUUUCAACUUACAGCAGAAAUCAGUCAACUAUUCAAUCAUGUGAAUGGCACACACAAAAAAAGAAAGUAUAGCAAUUUUGAUCAGUGAUUGCUUAAAUAAUUUUUAUGUUGCUGUGAAAUUCAUUAGCUUGUAGCUCUUCACACUUGGCUAGGUGUCCUGUGAAACUGAUUUUGAUCCAAGUGGAUCUUCC